rnacentral:rRNA from 1 species
AUUGAACGCUGGCGGCAUGCUUUACACAUGCAAGUCGAACGGUAACAGGCCUUCGGGUGCUGACGAGUGGCGAACGGGUGAGUAAUGCAUCGGAACGUACCCAGAGGUGGGGGAUAGCGCAGCGAAAGCUGUGCUAAUACCGCAUGUGAUCUGAGGAUGAAAGCGGGGGACCGAGCAGCAAUGUUUGGCCUCGCGCCUUUGGAGCGGCCGAUGUCGGAUUAGCUAGUUGGUGGGGUAAAGGCCUACCAAGGCGACGAUCCGUAGCUGGUCUGAGAGGACGACCAGCCACACUGGGACUGAGACACGGCCCAGACUCCUACGGGAGGCAGCAGUGGGGAAUUUUGGACAAUGGGCGCAAGCCUGAUCCAGCAAUGCCGCGUGCGGGAAGAAGGCCUUCGGGUUGUAAACCGCUUUUGGCAGGAACGAAACGGUGUCCGCUAAUACCGGGCGCUAAUGACGGUACCUGCAGAAUAAGCACCGGCUAACUACGUG